rnacentral:rRNA from 1 species
UACGUAGGGUGCGAGCGUUUAAUCGGAAUUACUGGGCGUAAAGCGUGCGCAGGCGGUUUUGUAAGCCAGAUGUGAAAGCCCCCGGGCUCAACCUGGGAAUGGCAUUUGGGACUGCAAGGCUGGAGUUUGGCAGAGGAGACUGGAAUUCCUGGUGUAGCAGUGAAAUGCGUAGAUAUCAGGAGGAAUACCGAUGGCGAAAGGCAGGUCUCUGGGCUAUAACUGACGCUCAUGACACGAAAGCGUGGGGAGCAA